AGUGAACGCUGGCGGUAGGCCUAACACAUGCAAGUCGAACGGCAGCACAGUAAGAGCUUGCUCUUACGGGUGGCGAGUGGCGGACGGGUGAGGAAUACAUCGGAAUCUACUUUUUCGUGGGGGAUAACGUAGGGAAACUUACGCUAAUACCGCAUACGACCUACGGGUGAAAGCAGGGGAUCUUCGGACCUUGCGCGAUUGAAUGAGCCGAUGUCGGAUUAGCUAGUUGGCGGGGUAAAGGCCCACCAAGGCGACGAUCCGUAGCUGGUCUGAGAGGAUGAUCAGCCACACUGGAACUGAGACACGGUCCAGAGUCCUACGGGAGGCAGCAGUGGGGAAUAUUGGACAAUGGGCGCAAGCCUGAUCCAGCCAUACCGCGUGGGUGAAGAAGGCCUUCGGGUUGUAAAGCCCUUCUGUUGGGAAAGAAAAGCAGCAGGUUAAUACCCCGCUGUUCUGACGGUACCCAAAGAAUAAGCACCGGCUAACUUCGUG
rnacentral:rRNA from 1 species